AUACUUACCUGGACGGGGUCAAUAGAUGAUCAUGAAGGUUUAUGGCCUAGGGUAGUGACUUUCAUUGCACUUGGAAGGGGUGCUCCUCUAAGGUCUGUCCCAGUGACAGAGCCUACGUCAUAAUUUGUGUUUGGAAUCUAAUUUCAUAUUUUUGGUUGAGAUGU